UCACGAAGNACUCCGAUUGCGAAGGCAGCUUGCUGGACUGUAACUGACGCUGAGGCACGAAAGCGUGGGGAUCAAACAGGAUUAGAUNNNNGGUANNCCACGCCGUAAACGAUGAAUGCUAGCUGUUAGCGAUAUACUGUUAGCGGCACAGAGAAAUCGUUAAGCAUUCCACCUGGGGAGUACGCCGGCAACGGUGAAACUCAAAGGAAUUGACGGGGGCCCGCACAAGCGGAGGAACAUGUGGUUUAAUUCGAUGAUACGCGAGGAACCUUACCUGGGCUUAAAUUGCAGUGGAAUAACGUGGAAACAUGUUAGCCUUCGGGCCGCUGUGAAGGUGCUGCAUGGUUGUCGUCAGCUCGUGCCGUGAGGUGUCGGCUUAAGUGCCAUAACGAGCGCAACCCUCAUCGAUAGUUACUAACAGGUUAAGCUGAGGACUCUAUCGAGACUGCCGACGUAAGUCGUGAGGAAGGUGGGGAUGACGUCAAAUCAGCACGGCCCUUACGUCCAGGGCUACACACGUGUUACAAUGGGGGGUACAAAGGGCAGCUACCUGGCGACAGGAUGCUAAUCUCAAAAACCUCUCUCAGUUCGGAUUGGAGUCUGCAACCCGACUCCAUGAAGCUGGAUUCGCUAGUAAUCGCGCAUCAGCCACGGCGCGGUGAAUACGUUCCCGGGCCUUGUACACACCGCCCGUCAAGCCAUGGGAGCCGGGGGGACCUGAAGUAUGCAACCGUAAGGAGCGUCCUAGGGUAAAACUGGUGACUGGGGCU
rnacentral:rRNA from 1 species